rnacentral:rRNA from 1 species
CCUACGGGCGGCUGCAGUGGGGAAUAUUGGACAAUGGGGGCAACCCUGAUCCAGCCAUGCCGCGUGUGUGAAGAAGGCCCUCGGGUUGUAAAGCACUUUCAGUGAGGAAGAACGCCUGGUGGUUAAUACCCAUCAGGAAAGACAUCACUCACAGAAGAAGCACCGGCUAACUCCGUGCCAGCAGCCGCGGUAAUACGGAGGGUGCGAGCGUUAAUCGGAAUUACUGGGCGUAAAGCGCGCGUAGGUGGCUUGAUAAGCCGGUUGUGAAAGCCCCGGGCUCAACCUGGGAACGGCAUCCGGAGCGGUCAAGCUAGAGGGCAGGAGAGGAAGGUAGAACUCCCGGUGUAGGGGUGAAGUGAGUAGAGAUCGGGAGGAAUACCAGUGGCGAAGGCGGCCUUAUGGACUGACACUGACACUGAGGUGCGAAAGCGUGGGUAGCAAACAGGAUUAGAUACCCUGGUCGUC